GUUGAUCCUAUGAUCAUCCUGCUCUCUGCAAAUGCUGAUUGCUCACCUACAUCAGGUUUCAGAGAGGAAUUCUUCCAGGAGCAUCUGCAACAGCCUUGAAACCUGCAAUGUUCAAGUCAGUUUUAAUGGUAGCUCCCUGAGGAUGGUCAGUCAUCAACAUCUGAUCAUCAACACUUACAGGUAACACUAAUUAAAUAUACAAGAUUAAUUAGGACACAUCAGCACGCCAACAAGCAGAAAUCAUAAUCAUAUCAUCUCUUGGGCAACAGAACCACUAACUCCGGGCAUGUUCUCAUGAUCUCAUCAAUGGAACAUCCUUUGAGAUGAAUCUAAAGAAUGGAUCAGAGUUGGGACAGCAAACUGUUGAGUUCAUGGCUACUGACAACACAGCACAUAGCUGACGCUGCAAGAAAUUGGAGGUUCAUUACAAGAAAACCCAUUCAUCCGCUUACACAUAGCUACUGGCGGGGGAAAUUAUAAGCUUAGUGGAAAAAGCCAACAACAGCAUGAAAAACAAGCACCAGUGCACAAAACCAACUACUAAAUAGCGAGGACCCUUGUAGCCUUGAAUUUGUUUUUGAUGAGAGUGGCCUCCUAC
rnacentral:lncRNA from 1 species